AAAUACUUUUUUUAUUGGAAUACUUUUUAUUUCUGAAAGUAGUAUUGUAGUAGGGUAUUAAGGCGUCAAGAACAGAAUUAUUUAAUGGAAACAAAGAGGGAGUGAAGCUACCCAAGCUUUGUUCCUCUACUUAGAAGUUCUAUCGAUAUGUAGGGGAUGAGGAGUGGCAUGGAGGUAACAGAAAAGAGAAAAAAUGGCCAUGUGACCAACCUUGUAUGUUUUGUAGAUCUAUUGAUUGCUCUCAUGAAGAAGGCUGCCCUACCACCCAAGUCUCUGGGUUUCUGCCAAAACAAGAUUUGGCAAGAGGCUUUUACUUGGUAUAGAGAAGAGGUUCCUCUGGGUCAGCUCCGAAAUCUGACACCCAGAUGGUCCUGAGUUAAGAAUCUUAAGCAUGUUAACCACACCACACAUCAAAGAAACAAUUAUUCAGUAUUACAGGGCUCCUUCCCACUGACUCAGCAAGCUAAUUAUCCUCACCUAUCUCAGGAUCCAGCUACUACCAGGUUGAAGGCACAGGAAUUAAAGAGGAAAGCAUCUAAAAAGUUGACCACCAAUGAUUUCACUACCUGGAAAUACGCCAUGUGAAAAGAUUUCAAAUGUCACAAGCUUCCUGAUUUCAAUAGAUAAUAACUUGAAUGAUUUUGAAUAAAGUUAUGUUUCCUAA